rnacentral:rRNA from 1 species
CCACCACCAAAGCAUUUGCUGUACCGCGUUGACGGAGCGAAGCGACGUCAAACCGAUAAAACAGCAGUGUAAAGUGAGCCGCAGGGCGCUUUGCGCGACAGCGCAAAGGCAGGCGGUUUCGCGUAGCGAAAGCGAAUGCUUUGGGGUGGGGUGACUGCGUACCUUUUGUAUAAUGGGUCAGCGACUUAUAUUCUGUAGCAAGGUUAACCGAAUAGGGGAGCCGGAGGGAAACCGAGUCUUAAUUGGGCGUUAAGUUGCAGGGUAUAGACCCGAAACCCGGUGAUCUAGCCAUGGGCAGGUUGAAGGUUGGGUAACACUAACUGGAGGACCGAACCGACUAAUGUUGAAAAAUUAGCGGAUGACCUGUGGCUGGGGGUGAAAGGCCAAUCAAACCGGGAGAUAGCUGGUUCUCCCCGAAAGCUAUUUAGGUAGCGCCUCGUGAAUUCAUCUCCGGGGGUAGAGCACUGUUUCGGCUAGGGGGCCAUCCCGGCUUACCAACCCGAUGCAAACUGCGAAUACCGGAGAAUGUUAUCACGGGAGACACACGGCGGGUGCUAACGUCCGUCGUGAAGAGGGAAACAACCCAGACCGCCAGCUAAGGUCCCAAAGUCAUGGUUAAGUGGGAAACGAUGUGGGAAGGCCCAGACAGCCAGGAUGUUGGCUUAGAAGCAGCCAUCAUUUAAAGAAAGCGUAAUAGCUCACUGGUCGAGUCGGCCUGCGCGGAAGAUGUAACGGGGCUAAACCAUGCACCGAAGCUGCGGCAGCGACACUGUGUGUUGU